GCCGGCGGCGUGCCUAACGCAUGUAAGUCGAACGCACGGUCCUUCGGGAGCGUGAGUGGCGAACGGCUGAGGAACACGUACGAACCUGCCCUCCAGUGGGGAAUAACUCACCGAAAGGUGAGCUAAGACCGCGUACGCUCGGCGCAAGCCGAGGAAAGCCUUCGGGCGCUGGUGGAGGGGCGUGCGGCCCAUCAGGUCGUUGGUGGGGUAACGGCUCACCAAGCCCACGACGGGUAGCUGGUCUGAGAGGAUGAUCAGCCACAUUGGGACUGGGACACGGCCCAAACUCCUACGGGAGGCAGCAGUGGGGAAUAUUGGACAAUGGGCGCAAGCCUGAUCCAGCCAUGCCGCGUGAGUGAUGAAGGCCCUAGGGUUGUAAAGCUCUUUCACCGGAGAAGAUAACGACGGUAUCCGGAGAAGAAGCCCCGGCUAACUUCGUGCCAGCCGCCGCCGUAACAC
rnacentral:rRNA from 1 species